rnacentral:rRNA from 1 species
GAUGAACGCUGGCGGCGUGCCUAAUACAUGCAAGUCGAACGAAACUUCUUUAUCACCGAGUGCUUGCACUCACCGAUAAAGAGUUGAGUGGCGAACGGGUGAGUAACACGUGGGCAACCUGCCCAAAAGAGGGGGAUAACACUUGGAAACAGGUGCUAAUACCGCAUAACCAUAGUUACCGCAUGGUAACUAUGUAAAAGGUGGCUAUACUACCGCCUUUGGAUGGGCCCGCGGCGCAUUAGCUAGUUGGUAGGGUAAAGGCUUACCAAGGCAAUGAUGCGUAGCCGAAGUGAGAGGUUGAUCGGCCACAUUGGGGCUGAGACACGGCCCAAGCUCCUGCGGGAGGCAGCAGUAGGGAAUCGUCCACAAUGGGCGAAAGCCUGAUGGAGCAACGCCGCGUGGGUGAAGAAGGUCUUCGGAUCGUAAAACCCUGUUGUUAGAGAAGAAAGUGCGUGAGAGUAACUGUUCACGUUUCGACGGUAUCUAACCAGAAAGCCACGGCUAACUACGUG